rnacentral:pre_miRNA from 1 species
UGGCAGUGUGGAUAGCUGGCCGUUUUCAUCACAACAGCCACUGUACACACUCCCGUA